CUUUAUUUUUACUCAAGUAGCCCCCGAACUGAGUCCUUUGGCUUUUUUUUUUUUUUUUUUUUAAUUUUAUUUUUAAUUUUUUUUCCCGCUUUGAGGCAAAACGAGGGAGAAUUGGUAAAAUAAUGAGGCGGGAAGGUGAAAUCCCUCCGAUUUCUCUGCAGCUCCGUUACUAAACCCAAACCGGGACCAACAAUUAUCUUUAUUUAUUCCCAAAUUAGUAAAAUCCGAGGAUACUGCCCAUAAAUUCAAGUUUUAACUGGGUUUCCCCUCCGUACUGGGAAAGCCGGGGGUACAGGGGCUGACUCCAGUUUGGACUGGGAGGCACUGGGUCAUCCAGUUUGUACUGGGAGGGGGCUCAGCCUGUACUGGAAGGGACCAGGAGAACCAGUUAGUACUGGGAAGAAGCCUGGUCUGUACUGGGAGUGAGGAAGAUGAUCCAGUUUGUACUGGGAGGGGGCUCAGCCUGUACUGGAAGGGACCAGGAGAACCAGUUAGUACUGGGAAGAAGCCUGGUCUGUACUGGGAGGAGGCGGGGGGGUGAGGAAGAUGAUCCAGUUUGUACUGGGGGGGGGCUCAGCCUGUACUGGAAGGGACCAGGAGAACCAGUUAGUCCUGGGAAGAAGCCUGGUCUGUACUGGGAGGAGGUGGGGGGGUGAGGAAGAUGAUCCAGUUUGUACUGGGAUGGGCCAAGCCUGGACUGGGAUGAGAUCCAAGGAUCCUCUUUGGACUGGGAGGACGCCCAGUCUGUACUGGGAGGGGAUCAGGGUGGACUGGGACCCACCGCGUUCUGGACUGGGAGGAGAUGUGGGCAUCCAGUUUGGACUGGGAAGUGGGCCAGUCUCUCCUGGGAGGGGUUAAAGGGAUCCAGUUUGUACUGGGACAAGGCCCAGUCUAUACUGGGAGAGGGCCGGGGCAUCCAGUUCCGGCCUGGAGGUGGCCCAGUCUGUAGUGGAACUGGUCCGAGGGAAGCAGCUUGUACUGGGACGGGGAAAGGUCUGUACUGGGAGGGCACUGGAAAUCCAGUUUCUACUGGGAGGCGGCCCAGUCUGUACUGGGAGGGUUAAAGGGAUCCAGUUUGUACUGGGACAGGGCCCAGUCUGUACUGGGAUGGGAUAAGAGGUUCCACUUUGUACUGGGGUGGUGCCCAGUCUGUACUGGGACAGGAUCAGGGUGGACUGGGACUCAUCACAUUCUGUACUGGGAGGAGAUCAGGGCACCCAGUUUGGACAGGGAAGGGGCCCGCUCUGUACUGGGAGGGGUCAGAGGGACCCAGUUUGUACUGGAACAGAUCCCAGGCUCUACUGGGAUCAAGUUCUGACUGGGGAGUGGCCCAGUCUGUACUGGGAGAGGAUCAGAGGGUCCACUUUAUACUGGGAAGGGGCCCAGUCUGUACUGGGAGAGGUUAAAUGGAUGCAGUUUGUAUUGGGAGGGGGCCCAGUCUGUACUGGGAGGGCACUGGGAUUCCAGUUUGUACUGGGAUGGGGCCCAGUCUGUAUUGGAAGGGGUCCGGGGAACCAGUUCUGACUGGGAAGUGGCCCAGUCUGUACUGGGACUGGACCAAGGAGUGCAGUUUGUACUGGGAAGGGCCCAGUCUGGACUGGGAAUGCACAGGGGACCCAGUUUGUACUGGGAAGCACUGGGAGAUCCAUUUCAUACUGGGAAGUGGCCCAGUCUGUACUGGGAUGGGACCAAGGAGAACAGUUUGUACUGGGACAGGCCACAUUCUGAACUGGGAGGGCUUCAGAAGUUCCACUUGGUACUGGGAAUGGGCCCAGUCUGUACUGGGAGAGGCCAGGGGAACCAGUUUGUACUAAAAAAGGGUCCCAGUCUGUACUGGGACGAUGUCCAUUCUGCACUGGGAGGGGAUUAUGGCAUCCGGUUUGUACU